AUUGAACGCUGGCGGCAGGCCUAACACAUGCAAGUCGAGCGAGCGGCGGACGGGUGAGUAAUAUAUGGGGGCUGCUCGUUAGAGGGGGGUAACACCUGGAAACGCUAGCUCAUAUCGCCUACUACCGGAUAACCCCUAUGGGAUUAGCUAGUAGGUGAGGUAAUGGCUCACCUAGGCGACGAUCCCUAGCUGGUCUGAGAGGAUGAUCAGCCACACUGGGACUGAGACACGGCCCAGACUCCUACGGAGGCAGCAGUGGGGAAUAUUGCACAAUGGGCGCAAGCCUGAUGCAGCCAUGCCGCGUGUAUGAAGAAGGCCCUAGGGUUGUAAAGUACUUUCAGUCGGGAGGCGUUACCGACAGAAGAAGCACCGGCUAACUCCGUGCCAGCAGCCGCGGUAAUUC
rnacentral:rRNA from 1 species